rnacentral:rRNA from 1 species
UGAGCAAUCUGCCCUUCUCAUCGGAAUAAGCGUUGGAAACGACGUCUAAUGCCGAAUACGACCUCCUUUCGCAUGAUCGGAGGUGGAAAGCUCCGGCGGAGAAGGAUGAGCUCGCGGCCUAUCAGCUAGUUGGUAUGGGUAAUGGCCCACCAAGGCGACGACGGGUAGCCGGCCUGAGAGGGUGACCGGCCACACUGGGACUGAGACACGGCCCAGACCUCCGUACGGGAGCAG